UACCAGCACCCCGAGUGGUCGGGGCGAUUAUUGGGCCUAAAGCAUCCGUAGCCGGUCAUGCAAGUCUUCCGUUAAAUCCACCUGCUUAACAGAUGGGCUGCGGAGGAUACUAUAGAGCUAGGAGGCGGGAGAGGCAAGCGGUACUUAGUGGGUAGGGGUAAAAUCCGUUGAUCCAUUGAAGACCACCAGUGGCGAAGGCGGCUUGCCAGAACGCACUCGACGGUGAGGGAUGAAAGCUGGGGGAGCAAACCGG
rnacentral:rRNA from 1 species